AGAUGGUGGAGAGUAAAAUGUCAUCGGUACCGAUGGACGCACAUCGUUACCCGUCAAGCACGCCGACGACGACGGCGACGUUUCUCGCGCACUCCGUCAGGCUCGACGUUCCAAGACGGCGCUGCCUCGCGGAUGACCAUAUAUGACGCGAUAUAUUGCGUCCACAACACGAGAUCGAGAUUUCGGGAAGGAAAACGAAAGAGGGACAAAAUGCCAACAACAAAUGCUUAGGGAGAGACUCGCUCGUCCUUCGCGAGACGAGCCCGGAUGAAAAAAAAAAAAAUUGGGAGAAAUUAUAACAGCAGGCGACAAAGAGAGAGAGAGAGAGAGACGCACUUACUUGAAUGAAUUGUAUCGUGAUUGCCGAUUUCCCGACACCGCCGCCACCGACGACGACGAGCUUGGAAACGACUAGAAAAAGAUUAUAUUCGAGUAGUGACUGUGGUGUUCCGACGAAUAAAAGUAUCCAGUUAAUUUAUUUCGCAUAAAAUAUACAAGAGACGUCGAGAAAGUUUGGAGACUGAAUGGAUUAUCAUAAAAUAAAGUUCAAAAGAAAUUGUGACUUUCAAAGCUCUUCAAACAUAAUUUUGAGUCAGGAUAAUUUAUACAUAUAUAUACAAUUAUAUUCAUUAUUUCAAAUGUCUUAAAUUCUUCCUUUUCGUGAAAAAAAAUUUAAUCGAGUUUUGAAGGACGACAAGGAUGAAAGGGUUUGGCUAAAUUAAACAACUUAUUGUUUUCGCCCAAAGCAGAUAGCUUUAACAAAUGUAUUGAACGCAACUCUACAAAACCCACGUUUUCUCGAUUAUCGGACUAGAUGUCUUAUCAUAACAUUGAGCUCAACAAGGAAUCACUUCGAGGGAGACAAGCCAAGACACAUAUUUUUCGAUAUUUUUUUAUAAUUCUUCUUUAUUUUGUUUAAUUCACUCAGCCCUCCGCAACAUUUUGGACACACCUUGUAUAUUCGAUCAAACUUGAACUUGCGUCUUUUUUGUCCGAUAUUGCACUUACGAAGAAAUUUUACGUAUCGCGUUGCAAUGUUGUUACACGAUUGUUUCGUCUAUAAUUUAAUUUUUCAACACAUAUGUCGUAAAAGUUACACACGAAAUGAGCAGAAAAAAUUUUGUGUAGAAAAUCUCCUAUACGCACACUUAGCAAAUAUAUCUUUUUUUUUUUUCAUUGCUCAAUUAAGGCACCGGUGUACCUAACUUAGAUUGAAGAAAUCGCGUUGCUCUCUGCAUUCUCGCACAGUUUUGUAAAAAAUACUUGAAAAAUAAUUCAAAAAACCGACAGUAAACCGUCAGAAUCUGAUUUAUGAA